UGCCAGGAUCCUCCUGUAUCGAGGUGCCGACAAGGAUGUGAAGAAUAACAACGGACAGACCCCCUUCCAGGUGGCAGUGAUUGCUGGGAAUUUUGAGCUGGGGGAGCUGAUCCGAAACCACCGAGAACAGGAUGUGGGUGAGUGACAGGGAGCUGGGGCUGCACAGAGAACCUGGGGCCGUUGGGGUUUCAUGGUCGGAUGGGGAAGUUGGGGGACCUGACUUGGGAGCCAGGAUAGGAUGGAGAAAACCCUAGAGGACCAAAAAUGUCUGGAUGGUGGUGGGGGAGCAAUUCCAGGCCCCCCGCCCUUUCUCAUCUCUGUCUUUCUCCCUCAUGCCUCUCUCCCACCAUCUCUUGCCCCCGCAUGGCCCCCUGCUUGCCUUUUCUCCCCUAACAUCUGCCCCCCGCCGCCACUGUGCCCUCUCAGUGCCCUUCCAGGAGUCCCCCAAGUACGCGGCCCGGCGACGGGGGCCCCCAGGCACAGGGCUGACGGUGCCCCCGGCGCUGCUGCGGGCCAACAGUGACACCAGCAUGGCGCUGCCCGACUGGAUGGUGUUCU
rnacentral:sRNA from 1 species